rnacentral:rRNA from 1 species
AUUGAACGCUGGCGGCAGGCCUAACACAUGCAAGUCGAGCGAGCGGCGGACGGGUGAGUAAUGUCUGGGAAACUGCCUGAUGGAGGGGGCUAACUACUGGAAACGGUAGCUAAUACCGCAUACCAUCAGAUGUGCCCAGAGGGGAUUGGCUAGUGGGUGGGGUAACGGCUAACCUAGGCGACGAUCCCUAGCUGGUCUGAGAGGAUGACCAGCCACACGGGAACUGGGACAGGGCCCAGACUCCUACGGGGGGCGGCGGUGGGGAAUAUUGCACAAUGGGCGCAAGCCUGAUGCAGCCAGGCGGGGUGGGUGAAGAAGGCCUUCGGGUGGUAAAGCACGUUCAGCGGGGAGGCGGUACCCGCAGAAGAAGCAACGGCUAACUCCGUGCCAGCAGCCGCGGUAAUAC